CGGGCGUUUCAUCGAAAAGUGCAUGAAAAUCUGUUCUCUGAAAAUGGAAAAAUAUAUCCUUCCGCCACUUCAGGCAAUUGUUCAAAGUGAAUCGAAUUAAAUAGAGCCGAGUUUACACUGCCUCCAGCUGCCAUAGGUUGUCUAGAGUCAUGUGAUUUGAUUCGCAAUUGAUUCUUGGUAUAGCCCAAACAAGGGAACAUCUUCCCUGAUGACUACGCCCGGAUUUUUGGUCGACCUCUGUAUUCCGACUUCGAUAUCUAAGCUAUAUAUGGACCGAUUUAAUCGAAAAAAGACCCCAAAUGAUGUUUAUGGGACAUCUAGGAGUGCCAAGAAAGAAGCUUGUCAAAGACCUGAGCCCUAGGACCAUGCCUCAGGACUACAUGGCCUGAUGACUCCUGGCUGUCCCCAGUCCACCUGGUCGGGCUGCUCCAGUUUCAACUCUUCUGCCUGCGGCUAUGGAACCCUGACCUGUUCACCGGACAUGCUACCUUGUCCCAAACCUGCUGCUUUCGACUCUCUCUCUCUCUAACGCACCUGCUAUCUCGACCUCUGAAUGCUCGGCUAUGAAAAACAUUUACUCCUGAGAUACUGACCUGUUGCACCAUCUACAACCACUGGGAUUAUUAUUUGACCCUGCUGGUCAUCUAUGAACUUUUGAACAUCUUGAAGAACAAUAUGUCCUUAACAAGAAGUUAAGCUUUAAUUUGGUGUAUUGUGAUUGUAUGAAAGUUAAAUAUUUCUUAUAAUAUUUUUUGAAUUUCGCGCUCUGCAAUUUCACUGGAUGUUGUCGAAACGUUCCGAAAGCGAAACCCCAAGCCGUAACAGGUAGAAGCCAACCUUACUGAUGCACAUAUCACUUGUUGGCCUAUCCCUCUGUGCUGGCACAGAUCUACUACUCACAGGGAUCCUCUCAGGAUCCCUUGACCCAUCCUCUUCUACUUUCUUCACUGGCUCAGCAUUCAACACUUUCUACACUACUCAGACUCUGGUCACCUCAAUCUGCCUCUCUCGCACCGGACACUUCCUAUCCCCAUCAACAUGAGCAACCCUACAGUUGAAACGCAACUUUAUCCACCCAAAUUUCAAAGUCCCAUGCCCUCUUGCACACUUCCCACAUCUUGGAAUCUCCCUCCUACACACACUGCUUCUUCGACACCCCAUCUCAAUUUGUAUUGCCAUCUUCCUCAAAUCUAACCUCUGCUUUCCUCAUUCUCAUCGACUGUCACAAACGUUGGUUGAAUAAAUGGCGCAGCGUGCGUAGAGUUGCAAAUGUUUAUUUAAUGAAACUCACAGAAAACAAUCAAGCGCAAAAUGAAACGUGAAGCUAUGCAGUACUAACAAGCAACAAUACAUAAACAAGAUCCCACAAAAACCCAGUGUGAAAAGGCUGCCUAAAUAUGAUCCCCAAUCAGAGACAACGAUAGACAGCUGCCUCUGAUUGGGAACCAUACCAGGCCAACAUAGAAAUAAAGAAACUAUAGUACCCACCCUAGUCACACCCUGACCUAACCAAGAUAGAGAAUAAAAUGUCUCUCUAAGGUCAGGGCAUGACAGUACCCCCCCUCCCCCAAAGGUGCGGACUCCGGCCGCAGAAAACAUGACUCUAUGGGUGAGGGUCCGGGUGGGCAUCUAGCCUCAGUGGCGUCUCCGGUUCGGGACGUAGACCCCGCUCCUUUCGCGGAUCCCUCCGCUUCUGUGGAACCGGACCAUGGAUCGUCGCCGGAGGCUCCGGACCGUGGAUCGUUGCCGGAGGAACCGAACCGGCGCACUGGAGGUCUAGAGCAUAGAGCUGGCACAAUGCGUCCUGGACAAAUGACCACCUUCGCACGGCAAGUGUGGAGAGCUGGCACAGGAUGUAUUGGACCCUAGAGGCGUACUGGAGACCGGGAGCGCUGAGAUAGUCACUUUAUAACGACAAGUGCUGGGAGCUGGCACAGAACACACUGGGCUGUGAAGGCGCACUGGGGACACAGUGCGUAGAGCCGGCGCAGGAUGUAUUGGACCCUGGAGGCGUACUGGAGACCAGGAGCGCUGAGAUAGUCACUUUAGCACUAUCUCGCGCGUAUAACCAGAAAACAUGGCACCUGAACGGUGACCAACUCCACACGGUGAGUACAGGGAGUUGGUUCUGGUUCCCACCUUGGCUCCGCCAACCAACCUGUGCGCCCUCCAAAAAAUGUUUUAAGGCUGCCUCUCGGACUUCUGUUGUGGCCGCGAACCCUGAUGUCGUCGUUGUUGCUCCCUCUCUGACUCCGUCUGCUUCCAUGGAAGGCGGUUCUUUCCGUCCAGGAUUUCCUCCCACGUCCAGGAUCCCUUCUUGUCCAAUAUAUCCUCCCAUGUCCAGGAUGUCUGCUCCUCCUCAGCACUCUGCUUGGUCCGUGGGUGGUGGGAUCUUCUGUCACGAACGUUGGUUGAAUAAAUGGACCAAGGCGCAGCGUGCGUAGAGUUGCACAUGUUUAUUUAAUGAAACUCACAGAAAACAAUAAAGCGCAAAACGAAACGUGAAGCUAUGCAGUACUAACAAGCAACAAUACAUAAACAAGAUCCCACAAAAAACCAGUGGGACACCCUAGUCACACCCUGACCUAACCAAGAUAGAGAUUAAAAGGGCUCUCUAAGGUCAGGGCGUCGAUCUCUUCCUCCUCUUUUUUCUAUUCCAUUCCUCCUCAGAAAUCCACCUUUGUGUGUCCAUGUCCCAAUAUUCCCUUUCUCCUGACUUCUCUUGCGGCCGUUAACAUCCCACCACAAUACCAUCACAUAAUCGUCCUGCUCACUCCGGAAACGUGUCUUCUCCGGGCGCCAACAUUUUAAGAGGAUGAGCAGCGGCACAACCGUUCUCCCUUCUCUCUUUUUCCUCAACCCUCGUCAAUUGUUACUGUCAAACAACCCUUUCAUGUCCAACUUCUUCUUCUUUAGUAUUAUGGCAGUCCGCAAAGUAAUCUUAUAGGUGCAUGCCGCACCCUACUGUACUGGCUGCGUAUCAGCCUAGUACUCUGUAGUAUGAAUUCAUGUAUGCCCUAUCAACUAACCCUACACCCAUUAAAACCUCACCACUAUUCCACUACUUUGGCCCCAUCUGACCAUACUCCAGUCCAGCAGCCUGGGAAUACGGGACACUAUUGUUCAAAACAUCUUAUAACUCUUUUGCAGUAAAAUCUUAUACACUGAAGUACAUCUCUGCAGCUGCCACCACAACAUCUAUCCUCUGUGAUUUACGUUCCAUACAGUUGACAACCAUGGCCAUGAAAGCCAAAUAAAUUACCUUGCUGAAGCACAUGUUGUUCCUGUCACACUCUAUUGGCCUCGGCCUACUCACAGGGAUUCUCUUAGGAUCCCUCGCCCUGUACCCAUCUUCCUCUACUACUCUCUUCACUACCUCAGCAUACGACACCUUCUGCACUACCCUGAUCCUGGCAACCUCAACCUGUCAUUCUCUCACCAGACACGUCUGAUCUCCAGGACCAUGGGUACCCCUACAGUUAACACAUACCCAACUUUUUCCACUGAUACUACACAUUCCUUUGUCUCAUGUCCUCAUGCACACUUCUCACAUUUAGGAAUCUCCCUCCUCUCCCUCCUACAUGCAUGACACCUAAAAAAAACGUAAUGGAUCUGGGACAAAAGCUCUCAUGGGAUAACUGACACAUCCUAACUUGACUUUAUCUGGUAAAGAUAGACACUGUCUUCUCUGUUUAUUGUGUGUAUAACUGCAGCCCAUAAUUCAGGGCAUUCAUCCCAUUGGUUCCUGCAUGAAUGCCCCCAAUCGAACACCCUAUUGGUUCCUCCGUCCUCGGAUGGGGCCACAGUGUCUCCUGACCCCUCCUGUCUCAGCCUCCAGUAUUUAUGCUGCAGUAGUUUAUGUGUCGGGGGGCUAGGGUCAGUUUGUUAUAUCUGGAGUACUUCUCCUGUCCUAUUCGGUGUCCUGUGUGAAUCUAAGUGUGCGUUCUCUAAUUCUCUCCUUCUCUCUUUCUUUCUCUCUCUUGGAGGACCUGAGCCCUAGGACCAUGCCCCAGGACUACCUGACAUGAUGACUCCUUGCUGUCCCCAGUCCACCUGGCCAUGCUGCUGCUCCAGUUUCAACUGGCCUGGGCCCUAGGACCAUGUCCCAGGACUACCUGACAUGAUUACUCCUUGCUGUCCCCAGUCCACCUGGCCAUGUUGCUGCUCCAGUUUAAACUGUUCUGCCUUACUAUUAUUCAACCAUGCUGGUCAUUUAUGAACAUUUGAACAUCUUGGCCACGUUCUGUUAUAAUCUCUACCCGGCACAGCCAGAAGAGGACUGGCCACCCCACAUAGCCUGGUUCCUCUCUAGGUUUCUUCCUAGGUUUUGGCCUUUCUAGGGAGUUUUUCCUAGCCACCGUGCUUUUACACCUGCAUUGUUUGCUGUUUGGGGUUUUAGGCUGGGGGGUUUCUGUACAGCACUUUGAGAUAUCAGCUGAUGUACGAAGGGCUAUAUAAAUAAAUUUGAUUUGAUUUGCAUGAACGCCCCUCACCCCCUCAGUCGAGGCACGACAUCUUCAUGCUUGUGUGACACUUUUGAAUGUGUGUCAAAAGGAAAGUAAAGGUAUUAUCAGAGUUUUUUUUGCCUCUGCCUUCUUGCUAGCUAGCGGAAGCAACACCAGUAGAGUGUCCUUCGCUCCCACCUGCUGAACACCUGCCCUCACCUUCGUUAAUAGAUGUGCGAGAAAACAGUGGAAGGCUGGGGCAAUACUGUGUACUAGCUAACUAGCUAGCUAGAUAGCAACACCAUGUGCUUUGCUCCCGCCUGACGAACACUUGGCCUUUCCGUCAUUAAUAGAACUGCGGGAAAACAGUGCCCAACAAGAAGGGACAAAGGACACCGGUGUACGGAUAGCUAGCUACCAUUGUGCGGCUAGCUAGCUGCCGUUGUCGGCCCUUCUGUUUUUUUUUGGGCGGCUGGCAUCCAACAUUAUUGUGCAUUAAAGCCAUCUACUGUACUGGAGCGCCCCCGCCUCCCU